rnacentral:rRNA from 1 species
UACGUAGGGGGCAAGCGUUGUCCGGAUUUAUUGGGCGUAAAGAGCGUGUAGGCGGUUAGGUAGGUCCGUUGUGAAAACUCGAGGCUCAACCUCGAGACGCCGAUGGAAACCAUCUAACUAGAGUCCGGAAGAGGAGAGUGGAAUUCCUGGUGUAGCGGUGAAAUGCGCAGAUAUCAGGAAGAACACCCGUGGCUAAGGCGGCUCUCUGGGCCGAUACUGACGCUGAGGAGCGAAAGCGUGGGGAGCGAACAGG